rnacentral:lncRNA from 1 species
CAAACCCAUUAACCAGGUGACCCUGACGAGUUUGGAUAUACCCUUUGCCAUGUUUGCUCCCAAGAAUUUGGAGCUGGAGGAUACCGAUCCAAUGGUGAGCCCACCGUUGACUACGAGUUCCCAGUAGAUGGUGCGCUAGUCAUUGUUCUUCCUGAGCCAGAGUCACUAAUCCCCCACAGACUAUAAACCAUGGCCCCUCGGCUUACGGGUGAAUCCUCCAGAUUCCCCAGAGACUGAAUCUCCUCUCCAGGGCAGCCUGCACUCAGAUGGCUCCAGCGGGGGCAGCAGUGGCAAUAC